rnacentral:sRNA from 1 species
AAAUAAAGAAGGGCGUGUAUAGCAUUA